CAACUCUCGAGCUUUUGAUCCUU
rnacentral:siRNA from 1 species